AUUAGUUUAAUGAUGAGAAAAUGUCCUUAGUGACAAUGCUAUAAACCCAGCUCUUCGAUCAUUAGAAAUGAGAAGAGAUACCUGUCAAACGCUCUGAUAAUCACUAGU
rnacentral:snoRNA from 1 species